UACUAUACCUGCACUAUGCACUUGAUCGGGAAACCGUAGACCAACAUAUCGUUAGUUUUCAGAAUCAGAGACGAAGCUGAAGUAUUCACGUAUUGCUAUCAAAAUGAAAACUACCUUAUAACCUCGUACGUAAAGUACACACAGUGAUUAAUAUUUUGAUCUUAUUUUUGUCAGAAGCCACACGAAAGGAUUUACAUCUCGACUCUUUUCAACUCCAGCCUCAGUAUCGGACGUGUACGUGGCAGUUCCGCCAGAACUCUGGCCAAGGAAGUGCACCAUAUGCUCAUUUGGACAACUGCUGACGUGACUGUCGUAGCUCAGAGUCCGACUCAGUAGAGAGUAGGCCUACCUAGAUGAUAGAACAGAUUUAGAAGGAGGUAGGGCCGGGAGGCGGGAUCGAGAUCUAACGGUAUUAUCGUAGCUACAUUUUAUUAUAGCUAGCUAAGGGCAAGGCUAAGCCCGAUCUCUGAGAAUUUGCUGAGCUGCUGAGGCCAAGGCAAGCCAGGUUUAGGGCUUUCCUUUAGCCCGAAAAUUUUAGGCAAGUUUACGUUGUUAUUAAGCACCUUUUAAGUCUCUCGUCGAAUAAUCAAACAGAACAAGUACAGAACACAGGCAGAGUCAGUGUGUCUGUGAAACUGUAAAACUUAAAACUUCACAAGUUGUUGACACAACACAUGAAUCUUCUUUUAACUGCAUGAACUAGAGGUCUGCUGCUCCUUAGUUAAGUGUAAUCAUCAUGGUUGAAUUUAAAGAUCCAAAUUCUCCAAUGGAAGAAGGUUUCGAUAAUCGUGUGUUCAUCGUUCCAGCCAUCAUAAUCAUAGGACUAAUUGGUUUUGUUGUCUACAAGCUUGCAACAAGUAUCCAUGGCAGGGAGAAGGCAAGGAGGGACAAGAAACAGAAAAAAAUGGAAUCUCGCAGAAGAUAACAUGAAACAUAAUAAAGUACCAAUGCAAACUUCUGGUCACAAUAUGCUAAAUAGCCAUUGAAAAGGUUUAUUUCCCAUGUACAUAUCAAGAUCUGUUGGUCAAUUUUUAAAAAGUGUUAGACUGAAAAUAAGGCCUUCAAUCUACACUUUGAUCUUACAAAUCUAAUGGCUUACUGCCAAUAGUUGUAUUACAUCUGUGUCAAGUCAGUGCAAUCUAUCUUUUUUGUUUUUGUUCAUAGGAUUACAAUGGGAAGAAAGAUAUCAUUUUGUGUAAAUCCUUUUCUUGAAGUUUUAUCAUCUUUUCUUAUUUAUAACUUUCCAUUAACUUGUAAGAUAUUUUUUGUAGCUGAAAAGAAAGCCUGUGCUAAAGUAUAUGUCCUGGGCAACAUUUGGCUUGUUUCACAUGUUUAGGAUAAACCAGAUGUCAUGAAAUUUAAUACAUGCCUGAGUUGUGUCAUGGGGUGUAUUUUGGUUGAAAAUCAAAAGUUGAAUUUUAUGCCACUGUUUGGCAGGAGAUUAUAUUUUCCUUGCCAUAAGCUAUCCAAUAAUCUUUUUUUUAAUGUAGAAUUUAAAACGUAAUAUGUUGAGUUUUUAAUUUGUUUUUGCCUUGUUGAUCAUGCAAGUAGUUUCCAAUUUUUCUCAAAUUACUUGUAUGUCAGUGCUGGGGGUAGUUUUCCUUUUUUCCCUUCAUGAAUACAGCAGCAGUUGACUUCUUUUUAUUUUGAAAUUUAUAUUAGAAAUAGGAAACAUCUUGAGCAUUUUGUUUUCUUUUUAUUUGUUGUUUUUUAUAUUCACUUGAGCACUGGCAUCCCUUGGCAAGGCAUUUACAUGUAUUUAUAUUUGCCAGUUGCAAGUUUCUAGAUUUUUAUUAUUUUUUAUUUAAUACUUAAUUUCCACUGUCAAAAGGCGUAAAUAAUCGUGCAGUAAUCGUAGUGAUCUUAUCAGAUUGUAUCAGAUCAGUCGUGGCAAUCGUAUUGAUGGUAGAAACAUUUUGAAUGGUUAAAAAAUGUUCGCAGUCAGUUACAAAAGGUCCACCGUGGCUUUCGUGAAGGAUCGCAUGACAGCGGGAAUGAGGUUAUGUACAGUGUG